AUUGAACGCUGGCGGCAGGCCUAACACAUGCAAGUCGAACGAGUGGCGUACGGGUUAGUAAUGUCUGGGACACUGCCUGAUGGAGGGGGUUCACUACUGGACACGGUCGCUACUACCGCCUACCAUACGAUGUGCCCAGUUGGGAUUAGCUAGUUGGUGGGGUAACGGCUCACCAAGGCGACGAUCCCUAGCUGGUCUGAGAGGAUGACCAGCCACACUGGAACUGAGACACGGUCCAGACUCCUACGGGAGGCAGCAGUGGGGAAUAUUGCACAAUGGGCGCAAGCCUGAUGCAGCCAUGCCGCGUGUGUGAAGAAGGCCUUCGGGUUGUAAAGUACUUUCAGUGGGGAGGCGUUACCCGCAGAAGAAGCACCGGCUAACUCCGUGCCAGCAGCCGCGGUAAUAC
rnacentral:rRNA from 1 species